rnacentral:rRNA from 1 species
AACCUGCCUUUAUCUGGGGGAUAGCCUUUCGAAAGGAAGAUUAAUACUCCAUAAUAUAUUGAACGGCAUCGUUUAAUAUUGAAAGCUCCGGCGGAUAGAGAUGGGCACGCGCAAGAUUAGCUAGUGGUGAGGUAACGGCUCACCAAGGCAAUGAUCCUUAGGGGGCCUGAGAGGGUGAUCCCCCACACUGGUACUGAGACACGGACCAGACUCCUACGGGAGGCAGCAGUGAGGAAUAUUGGUCAAUGGGGUGCAAGCCUGAACCAGCCAUCCCGCGUGAAGGACGACUGCCCUAUGGGUUGUAAACUUCUUUUGUAUAGGGAUAAACCUUUCCACGUGUGGAAAGCUGAAGGUACUAUACGAAUAAGCACCGGCUAACUCCGUG